GGCGGCGUAGCUCAGAUGGCUAGAGCAUGCGGUUCAUACCCGCAGUGUCGUUGGUUCAAUUCCGACCGCCGCUACCA
rnacentral:tRNA from 2 species